rnacentral:rRNA from 1 species
CCUACGGGAGGCAGCAGUGGGGAAUAUUGGACAAUGGGGGAAACCCUGAUCCAGCGACGCCGCGUGAGUGAAGAAGUAUUUCGGUACGUAAAGCUCUAUCAGCAGGAACGAAAAUGACGGUACCUGACUAAGAAGCCCCGGCUAACUACGUGCCAGCAGCCGCGGUAAUACGUAGGGGGCAAGCGUUAUCCGGAUUUACUGGGUGGAAAGGGAGCGUAGACGGCAGCGCAAGUCUGGAGUGAAAUGCCGGGGCGCAACCCCGGAACUGCUCUGGAAACUGUGUAACUGGAGUACAGGAGGGGCAGGCGGAAUUCCUGGUGUAGCGGUGAAAUGCGUAGAUAUCAGGAGGAACACCAGCGGCGAAGGCGGCCUGCUGGACUGAAACUGACGUUGAGGCUCGAAAGCGUGGGGAGCAAACAGGAUUAGAUACCCCAGUAGUC